rnacentral:rRNA from 1 species
UACGGGGGGGGCAAGCGUUGUUCGGAAUUACUGGGCGUAAAGGGCGCGUAGGCGGCCCUCUAAGUCAGACGUGAAAUCCCACGGCUCAACCGUGGAACUGCGUCUGAUACUGGAGGGCUUGAAUCCGGGAGAGGGAUGUGGAAUUCCAGGUGUAGCGGUGAAAUGCGUAGAUAUCUGGAGGAACACCGGUGGCGAAGGCGGCAUCCUGGACCGGUAUUGACGCUGAGGCGCGAAAGCUAGGGGAGCAAACGGGG